UGCAGUCGAGCGAGAAGUGUAGCAAUACAUGAGUAAAGCGGCGCACGGGUGAGUAACACGUGGGCAACCUGCCCCGGACACCGGGAUAACCCAGGGAAACCUGAGCUAAUACCGGAUACUCCGGCGUGAUCGCAUGGUCGCGCCGGGAAAGCUCCGACGGUCCGGGAUGGGCCCGCGGCCUAUCAGCUUGUUGGUGGGGUAACGGCCCACCAAGGCGACGACGGGUAGCCGGUCUGAGAGGACGGCCAGCCACACUGGGACUGAGACACGGCCCAGACUCCUACGGGAGGCAGCAGUGGGGGAUCUUGCGCUAAUGCGCGAAAGCGUGACGCAGCGACGCCGCGUGGGGGAUGAAGGCCCUCGGGUUGUAAACCCCUUUCGGCAGGGACGAAGCGAGAGUGACGGUACCUGCAGAAGAAGUCCCGGCUAACUACGUGCCAGCAGCCGCGGUAACACGUAGGGGACGAGCGUUGUCCGGAUUCAUUGGGCGUAAAGCGCGCGUAGGCGGCUCGGAAAGUCGGUCGUGAAAUGCCGGGGCUCAACCCCGGGACUGCGUCCGAUACUCUCGAGCUGGAGGCAGGUAGGGGAGAUCGGAAUUCCAGGUGUAGCGGUGAAAUGCGUAGAUAUCUG
rnacentral:rRNA from 1 species